AUUCCCAACGGGGAGCGAUUAUAGAAUACCCGGCCACUUUUGAAUUUUGAUAGUGUUUGCUUUUGGGGGAUACGGGGAUACGCAGUCAUUAAAAUGACGUAAUUAUUCGAGUAGUUUAAGAGGAGAAUGGGUAACUAUUAUUUUUCAAUGAUACGGGGAUACGCAGUCAGUAAAAUGACGUAAUUAUUUGAGUAGUUUAAAAGGAGAAUGGGUAACUUAUUAUUUUUUAGUGAUACGGGGAUACGGGGAUACGCAGUCAUUAAAAUGACGUAAUUAUUCGAGUAGUUUAAGAGGAGAAUGGGUAACUAUUAUUUUUCAAUGAUACGGGGAUACGCAGUCAUUAAAAUGACGUAAUUAUUCGAGUAGUAGUUUAAAAGGAGAAUGGGUAACUAUUAUUUUUCAAUGAUACGGGGAUACGCAGUCAUUAAAAUGACGUAAUUAUUCGAG
rnacentral:lncRNA from 1 species